rnacentral:rRNA from 1 species
CCCUUAGAUGUUCUGGGCCGCACGCGUGCUACACUGAGUGGAUCAGCGGGUCAGGUUGCGCGAAAGUGUUUCCUAAUCUUGAAAUCCGCUCGUGAUGGGGAUUGACGGUUGCAAUUUUCCGUCAUGAACGAGGAAUACCUUGUAAGCGCGGGUCAUCAUCCCGCGCUGAAUACGUCCCUGCCCUUUGUACACACCGCCCGUCGCUCCUACCGAUUGAAUGGUCCGGUGAAAUCUUCGGAUUGCUGGAUAGGAGGGCAACCACCUAUCUGCGAGAAGUUGCUUGAACCUUAUCAUUUAGAGGAAGGAGAAGUCGUAACA